rnacentral:rRNA from 1 species
UACGAAGGGGGCUAGCGUUGCUCGGAAUCACUGGGCGUAAAGGGCGCGUAGGCGGCGUUUUAAGUCGGGGGUGAAAGCCUGUGGCUCAACCACAGAAUGGCCUUCGAUACUGGGACGCUUGAGUCUGGUAGAGGUUGGUGGAACUGCGAGUGUAGAGGUGAAAUUCGUAGAUAUUCGCAAGAACACCGGUGGCGAAGGCGGCCAACUGGACCAGCACUGACGCUGAGGCGCGAAAGCGUGGGGAGCAAAAGGG